UCCGCCGCGCCCCUGUCUUCCUCUGUGCCCUCACUCUAGCGGUAGGCAGAAACCCUAGAAUCGAGGGAUGACUCUGGACUAGGGAUUUAGAUGGAUUCUGGGCGCAGUACUCCGGCUCCUGAUGGGAGCGAUGCAGAGGAUACUUUUAAAAUAACUUUUAGAGUCGCCGAGUUUGUCGCCAAGCCUAGUGAUGGUGUUCUCGUCCAUUCUCCAAAGCAAGAUGUGGUCUUGCAGCAGGUUAACAUUAGAGGGAUGACAUUGGAGAAGCUAAAAUCCAUAAUGAGAGAGUCUAUUUCUUAUGGUUCAUGUCAGGAUGUGCAUCUUUUCUGCGAAGACAAGACUGUAGGAGGGGUUGAUAGUAUGAUUCAAAAUGACAGCGAGUUGCUUGUUGCAUUUAUGGACAGAUGGGAAUCAAAACAAUUCCUUCUUCUCGCUGAAGUAGUGGACUUAGCUAACAUACCAUCAAGUGCAGCUAGCCAUUGCAGUGACGUGAAUGCAAAUCAUCUACCCAUUGUAGACUGGUCCACCAUUGAGAUUGAAACAGUAGAAGAUGGUAACAUGGAUGCUCCUAUAUCUCAGGAAAAAAUGUGUUUGGCCUUAGGCAUUAAUGAAAGCUCUAUUCUUCAUCCUCCUGCGCCAAUAGUUGAAUCUGUUGUUGAUAAGGAGCUGUUAGAUGAAGCUGCGAUAGCAGUUGAUGACAACAUGCCAGAAGAGUUAAAUAUUUCCUAUGACAUAGACCACCCAACGGUAGAGAUUGGGACUAUGUUUCCUUCUAUGCACGAUUGUAGAAUGGCAAUACGACAAUUUGCCAUCAAUGAGGAAUUUGAUCUUGGCACUAAAAAGGCUGAUCGGACUAGAUGGUCUGGCGAAUGUUUGGCCGAUGGUUGCCCAUGGACUAUAACAGCUCGUGUAAUGGCCGAUAAGAAAACAACACGGAUAACCCAAAUAAAGGGGCCCCACAAGUGUUAUUCAAGCAGCCAGGUGACAUCUUCCAUGGCAUCUCAAGCAUGGGUGAAACAAAGGUCAAUCAAGAUACUCCGACAAGAGCCAAAUAUAGGUGCUAAGGCCCUUAGGAAGAAGCUGCAGGAAACUUACAAUGUUAAAAUGGAGUAUCACACUGUAUGGAAGGGCAAGGAGAAAGCUUUGGAUGAGGUUUUUGGCACUUGGGGUAAUAGCUUUCAGUUCUUGUUCAACUUCAAAGCAGAGAUGGAAAAGAGAGAUCCUGGAAGUGUAGUGGAGGUUGACACAAUUGUAGAUGAUGCAGGUAAAAUUUGCUUUCACAGAUUCUUUAUGGCUCUUAGGCCUUGCAUAGAUGGAUUCAUUGCUGGUUGUAGGCCUUAUCUUAGCAUAGAUUCUACUGCUCUUAACGGUAAAUGGAAUGGACACUUAGCUUCAUGUACAGCACUAGAUGGGAACAAUUGGAUGUUCCCUAUUGCAUUUAAUGCAGAAUUUUGUGAAGAAAUUCCAUGGUGACACUCACAAAAACAUGUGGCCAGCCGCUAAAACCUAUAGACCUGAACGUUUUGUUUACCACAUGCAAAAUGUCCUUGCUGCUUGUCCUGAUGUUGGUCCAUAUUUGACUCAAUAUCAUAAUUUGUUGUGGAUGAGAUCUAGCUUCAACACUGAGAUCAAAUGUGAUUACAUACAUAACAACCUUGCCGAGUCUUUCAAUGCUUGGAUCAAAGAAAUAAAGGAUCUCCCUGUUGAUGAGCUAGCUGACACAUACAGACAAUGGGUAAUGAGGUUAUUUCAGGAAGGCGCAGGAAGAACAGGAUUAAGAGCUUCUUGGAAGGUGGUGGUAGCAAAAGCAAGGCAAAAGGGAAUGAAAAGGAAAAGAAAAGACUGGGAAGCCAAAAUAGAUGCAAAAAAUGUGGUGUGUUGGGCCAUAGGCAGAAUACUUGCCCAACAAAUGGCACUAGGAAAAG